UGGGAGUGGAACCAGGGCAGCACCAAAGCCUUGCUGAGUGACGAGCUCUGCAGUAGCCUAAAAAGCUGCUCAGCCUGGCAGUCACUGGAGAGGUUUGGAGUUAUGCAAAAAGUCCCAUCCCCAGAGAAUUGUCACUAUUUGACCUGUCUGGAAGCUUUCUGGAAAAGCUUCGUUUUGUCUCUAUUUGACCCUAUUUGUCUUAGUUUGACCUGACUCAGAGUUCAUGCUGUAAACAGCCCUAUCUCCAGAGCAUUCCUCAAAAACAGUCAGUAGCAAUUGUUUAACAUUGUAUCCUCCUGAGGUGGUGAUAACAGUUAGGACAAAAAAACCUUAAAGAAAAAACUAAUGAGUAAGAUGACUACGGAGACUUUGAAAAACUCCAACAUAUUUUUGGGAAUUGAGAAAGCCACACACAAAUGCAAGGCUUUGUGCCUGCCCAGAGAAAACCUCAGAAGGCUCUAAUGUCUCAUCUCUGGCUGACCUUGAGGCUCUGAACAAGCAGGAAGUAAAGACUAAGACAGAGUUGUAAGUUGCCUGCAAGAAGAGAUGUGCUCCAACAGUGGUUGUACAUGGUGAAGAACACAGACUUCAUAUAAUUAGUCCAAUAAACUCAUUAAACAAGCAAAUAGCAACAACAACAACAAACAGAAAAAACAACAAAACUUGGGAAUAAAAGAAGAAUCUUAAUUCCAGAUCUGACACACUAUAUUAUUCUAAAGGUACAGAUUUCAACAAAAAAUGCAAAACAUGUAAAGAAGCAUGAAAGUAUAGCCCAUACACAGAG
rnacentral:lncRNA from 10 species